rnacentral:lncRNA from 1 species
CCAAACAUUGCCCCAAGUUAAAAAGAACCACGAAGUGAUUUCUAGAAUUUGGAUGCCAAAACUGAAUGAACAAUGAACUCCUAGGAGCCAUUUUUAUGAUUUCCAAUGCUCUCUCUUUCUCAAGCCAUCCUAGAGGGAUUGGAGGUUUGGCAAGAAGCUAGAAUAUUCUUAUCAAAAAAUAAAAAUCUAACUUAUUCAUGAAAUUAAUGACUUUCUUUUUAAAAUUUUCAUCCUCUCUUUUAAUGAUAAAAAUACACAUCUUUCGUCUCUUUUUAAAAGCACAUUCAACCUAAAGUUAUUUCAAAAGGUGUAGCCAAGUGAAAAUAGGGAAUAUCUUAUGGUAAAUUCAUAUUAGAAAUUUACUGGCAUAUUAAUAAUGCUUCUGCAUCCUUAACUGCACUCCAACCUAUAUGUCGUUAUUAUUUGAAGUGCUUUGUUUCACUGAUUGCUUUUAUGAACUUAUGAAGUUACCUUGGGCACCUCUGUUGACCCAUCUUUUUCUUUUUCUGUCUUUCUUCCCCCCAGUAGUCUAAGCGACCACAUUUGUUUUUCUUACUACUAAGCUCCUCUCGUUGUUAUCCAUCUAUGAGAUAGUUAAUGAAUAAUUUAUCCAGGUACCCGAAUGAACCCGUCUCCUUAUCUCGAC